AGUCGCAAAGGAUUUUAUUAUUGGUAGCAGAGAUCUUAAGUUCGAAUCCUAAUUGGUGCACAUUUCUAGCUAAGUUUAUUUCUAAAUAAAAUAAACGAAACAAGUAGCAUGCUACCUAUCUCUCUCUCUCUCUAAAAAAAAAAAAAAAAGUGGAGAAAAGUGAAGUUGUUUGCGACUGUAAAAUAUUAUUUUCGCUGUUUGAUUUGCAUUAAUAAAACACAGUCGAAACUUGAGUUAUCUCAAAUAGCGUAAUUUGUCUUCGAUCCACUUUGGAUCGAAGUCAAUUAUGGUAAAACGAGGUGAAGAAAAAAAAUUAAUAAAAUAAUACUGUGGAUAAUGCUAGCUAUAUUUAAAUAUAUUUGAUUGUGGUACUGAUUACUUUUUUGUUUAGUUUAUAUAUUUAAAAUGUGAUGAAAAUUGAUUAAUUGAGUAUUAAUAUUUCUUUUACUCUAUGAUUUUAUUGUUGUAAUAUUAUAAUUUAUGUAUAAAAAAUUAAUUUAGUUAUUUUAGGUUAUAUUUUUAAUUAAUAGGGAUACAAUUAAUUUAUUUUUUUAUAUUAUAAUUUAUUAUUUAUCAAGUUAUAUAUAUAUAUAUAUAUAUAUAGAGAGAGAGAGAGAGAGAGAGAGAGAGAGAGUCUGGCUACUAUACUCUUAUGAGUACGAUCGCCCUCGUACUAAUAAGUUGUUUUCGAUGAUAGAACUUUCGAAACGACGAUCCACACCGUUAAACGUUAUCUAGAGCAUUUAAAACUACUAGAAAUUAAAUUUUAUAAUUUUUCGACAUUAUUUACCUUACGAUCAAAAGCUCACAAAAUUGACAAUUUUUAACGAUCGGUAUGGGAUACUUGCUAGUUUAACGGUGGAAAAGAAUCGGAAUAGGUUGAAUUUUUGAUAGAAAAUUCUAUUAACUACCUAGAUAAAGAUCAAUAACUCCGAUCUUAAAUUAAAGGAUCCGAUCAUCCAUUUUUAGGACGUCGUUCGAUUUUGACCAUUCAUUUUAUGCCCGCUUGAUGGACUUUAUUAUGAUUUCAAAAAAUUACGAAAUUUAUUUUUAGAAGUUUCAAAUACUCUAGAUCAUAUUUAACGGAGUGGAUCGUCGAUUCGGAAGCUCCAUCACCGAAAAUAACUUAUGAGUACUAAGGGCCCACUACUCAUAAUAGUAUAGUAGCCCUUUUCUCUCUCUCUCUCUCUCUCUCUCUCUCUCUCUCUAUAUAUAUAUAUCUAAAUAAAGAGCUAGCAGAGAAGGAGAUUUUUUUCACAUAAAUUAUAUUUUAAUGCAAAAUCCACUUCAAUCAAAAUUAAGUUCACUUUCAGUGAAACAAACAGGCCCUAAAAAGCUUUGAAAGGUACGUUGGUGGUCUAGAAUCGAUUUUCCGACUGCUAACAUCUAUUUUUGAUCACCGACUGUCCCUAGCGCGAGUAGCAAAGGGCAUGGUGGUUGGUACCUGAGGUCCCGCGUUCAAAUCCUAGUUGAUUCACAUUUUCAGCUAAGUUUAUUUUUAAAUGAAAUAAACGAAACGAAUAGUAUGCUACCUAUCUCUCAAAAAAAAAAAAAUUUGUUUUUGAUCUCAUUAAAGUUUUAUAUUAAGAAUCACCUAAUGCUAUCGGAUAAAAAAGAAGCUGAGAUAAAAAUUAGUAUAAUAUUACCGACUGUCCCUAGAGCAAGUGGCAAAGAGUUUGGUAGUUAAUAUCCGAAAUCCAAGUUCGAAUCCUAGUUGAUUCACAUUUCUAGCUAAAUUUAUUUCUAAAUGAAAUAAACGAAACGGGUAGGAUGCUACCUAUCUCUCAAAAAAAAAAAAGUAUAGUAUUACUUACAAAAUAAAAUGGAGUAUUUUUUUAGUAUUAUUAUACUUUGGCACCACACCCAAUUCAAUCUAACCGCCUAAUGCUAUUUGAUGAAAAAAAAAAGCUGAGGCGAAAAUAUACAAAUUAAGAUAUAUUUCUCUAUAUUUUGGUUGGAUUGUAUACAAUAUAUGUUAACCAACACAUUAAUAUAUGAACACCAUACUAUUUUAUUACUUCUUAUGAAAUCAAAUAAAACAUAUUUUUAUCAUAUAUACNCCAUACCGGCCGUUAAAAAUUGUCAAAUUUGUGAACUCUUGAUCGUAAGGUAAAUGAUGUCAAAAAAUUAUAAAAUUUGAUUUCUAGAAGUUUUAAAUGCUGUAAAUAAUAUUUAACGGUGCGGAUCGUCGAUUUAGAAGCUCUAUCAUCGAAAACAACUUAUGAGUAGUAGGGCGAUCGUACUCAUAAUAGUAUAGUAGCCGGACCCUAUAUAUAUAUAUAUAUAUAUAUAUAUAUAUAUUAUAGCGCGAGUAGCAAAGGGCAUGGUGGUUGGUACCUGAGGUCCCGCGUUCAAAUAUUUUCAGCUAAGUUUAUUUUUAAAUGAAAUAAACGAAACGAAUAGUAUGCUACCUAUCUCUCAAAAAAAAAAAUAUGUUUUUGAUCUCAUUAAAGUUUUAUAUUAAGAAUCACCUAAUGCUAUCAGAUAAAAAAGAAGCUGAGAUAAAAAUUAGUAUAAUAUUACCGACUGUCCCUAGAGCAAGUGGCAAAGAGCUUGGUAGUUAAUACCCGAGACCCAAGUUCGAAUCCUAGUUGAUUCACAUUUCUAGCUAAAUUUAUUUCUAAAUGAAAUAAACGAAGCGGGUAGGAUGCUACCUAUCGCUCAAAAAAAAAAAAAAAGUAUAGUAUUACUUACAAAAUAAAAUGGAGUAUUUUUUUAGUAUUAUUAUACUUUGGCACCACACCCAAUUCAAUCUAACCGCCUAAUGCUAUUUGAUGAAAAAAAAGCUGAGGCGAAAAUAUACAAAUUAAGAUAUAUUUCUCUAUAUUUUGGUUGGAUUGUAUACAAUAUAUGUUAACCAACACAUUAAUAUAUGAACACCAUACUAUUUUAUUACUUCUUAUGAAAUCAAAUAAAACAUAUUUUUAUCAUAUAUACUUCUAAUUAUUACAUCCACAAAUGAUAGAUACCAUAGAUACUUUUUACUUAUCUAUAUAUAUAUAUAUAUAGUCUAUUAAAUUUAUUAAACUUCGACGAAGUUAAUAAAUAAUGAUACGAUUUAAGAAAUUUGAUACCUUAACAUCUUCAUUUGCUACAUUAUUAAUAAGGACAUACAAAUCAACCAAAAAUAAAUAAAUAAAUAAAUCAAGUACCUAACUUUAACGUAUCUUCUACUAUCAAAAAAAAUCCUUCUAAUUUUGUUUUAUUUAAUUCAGUGUAGGGUACUAUAUAUUUAUUAUUAUUAUUAUUAUUUUAUAUUUUAUUAAAAUUCAAGUGACGUUUCAUGGGCUAAUGCUGUAGGUGAAAAAUCUGAAACGUCAAAUCGAGUUCUUUUGUUUCUUUCUUGCUUUCUUUUUCAUUUUUUUAAGGAUGCGGACCCACGAACUUAUCAUGGCAUGCAUUGGAGAUAUCAUUGAUAUGACCAAUUGAUAUGACCAAUGCCUGGGGUGUUACAUCUGUCGAUAGAGAUGCAAACAGGUCGGAUUUAGAUUUUGAGUGUAGAGGACUCCUCCUACUGCGUACCUUUCAUUUUAUCUUUUUAGCAUAUCGGAACGGAUUCGAAAUAUGGCCAAAACGGAUUUUUUAUAGACUUUUGACGGAUUGGUUGCAGAAUAAAGAAGGAAAUGGCUCCUCAAUCACGUCCUGCUCUAUUUUCUUCGCGAAUCGAGACGGAUUAUUCUUUUUCUUACUUUUGCCCUAUAUUUACCGUUUCACUUUGGAACUAAUUCAGCAGAAGCUCAAUCACUCUGGAUCCAUUUGCAUCCCUACUCGUCGUAUCCUUUUUUUCUUUCAACUAAAAACUUGAAAGAGUUUUUUGCGCCCUAGAAUACGUAGGAUGCGAGACAAAGUUAGGGUUCCAUUUUGGAAGAGAGGGAAGGGGCAAAAAUAUGUAAUAUAUUUUAUUUUAAAAAAAUAUUAUAAUGUACAUUAUUAUAAAAGUUCAAUGUGUAAAAAUAUAAAAGAAAAUUCAAAAAAGUUUACGUACUGGCUCAAAAGUUAAAAUUGUGCUCGGCUUUUCUUCAAGUCGUAAAAUCAGCUGGCCUCCUCGGCGCAACUUUUUACAAAGAAAAAAAAAAAUACAUUUUAGCCUGUAGAAGUUAUUAUAUUUAAUUUUUUACUACAGCUUAAUUAGGAAUUUUUAUAUAAUAAUUUUUAAAAAGUUAAGGACCACAAUAGGCCAAGGCUAUUGUGAGCCUCUUGAUACCUCACUACUAGUAGCAUUUUUUUUUCCAUUUAAACUGGUGUAACUUUUCAACUACUUUGAUAAUUGUUUUUUUAAUCUUUACUUAAUUAUAUAGAUUACUCAUUGAGCAAAUUUUUUAAUCUUUUUUUCUCCUAUUUUAUGAAAAGCUAGUAUUUUUCUUUUCUGAAUAUUUUAUCAAAAAAAAAAAAAACAAAAUCCAUGAAAAGUAAUGUUAUCUAUGGAAUUUUUUUUUUUCGAAAAAUAGUAUUCUACACUUUUCUGAGGAACUAAACACCCCCUAAAUCCAAAAUCUAAAUAUUAUGAUUAACGAUACCUAGUUGACUGUAUGUAGUACAGUUGGCUAAGGGUUUGAUGUUUAGUACUUAAGUUCCUAACUUCGUAUUUCUAACUAAAUUUAUUUCUAAGAAACGAAAAAAAGCGGAUAAUAUGCUUUUUUUUCUCUCUCACAAAAAAAAAUUAAGGAUAUCUACUAACUGAUUUAUCGGAUAGUUAGAUGAAUUAAAGCCCAUAGAGUUAGACUUGGGCCCAGGUAAAAUGUAGGCCUUAUUUAUUAUAAAUGGGCCGAAUGGGGCCCGGCCCAUAUUCUGCUUUUCUCCUCUGUGCGAAUGUCCGCACAAUGAGAACCCAACGAGGGCGCACGCAACGUGUUCGAGAGAUUGCCUCAGAGAGAGAGAGAGAGAGAACCCCAGCAACCAUGUCGUGGGAUCAUCGUCGCAAGCUCCUCCUCCUCCUCUCCCUCCCCCUCUCCUCCUCCUCCUCCUCCUCCUCCGCCGCCGCCGCCGCGCGCCGCCACCACCGCCACCUCCUUCGCCCAAUCCCACCAUCUUGGGUUUCCCCGCCCCAUUCCUCUCCCUUCCUCCACGAGUCUAGGGUUUCGGGGAGGUUCUCCUUCUCCUCUUCCGCGGCGGAUUCCGUUGGAGCAGGAGGAGGAAGGAGGUUGUCGAAGUGUUGGAAUUGUGGGACCGCAUCGGGCUCUCCCGCCCCCUUCCUUGCGUGCGGAACCUGCGGAAGCGUGCAACCCGUGGACGCGUCCGUGGAUUAUUUCCAGAUAUUCGGACUGUGAGUUUCUUGUUGGAGAACAGGUUUUAGGGUUCUUGAUUGAUUUGAUUAGUCAAUUUUUAUUGCAAUUUGUAGUACGAAUAAUCUGUUUCUCUAAUUACAAUUACUGGAAGGGAAAGAAAAUUUUCAAUUUUGAUGGAUAUUAAGACUAUUUUGCUAUUAAUUUUGUAUUAAUCUUGAUGGAAAUAUAAAAGGCAAAUAUGUUUUGUCUAAUCUUGUCGCGGGAAAAUGGAUUUUAUAUAAAGUUUUGAUCAUGAUGCUACAGUUUGUGGUCUUUUUUUUGGGUUUUGAAGGUGAGUUCAUUUCAUGUCCAUAAUUUACGGUAUAAUAAUACAUUUUCUCACUUCAUUUUUUAGUAGCGGUCUAAGAAAUUCUGUAAUAUGAUAGAAACUGCAAAAAGAGUUUACGACAAUAAGAUGCAUAUGUAGCUAAUUUAUUUAAAUUGGUUGUGGGUUGUUCUUAUAAUUUCUAUUAGAUUGCUAUCCCAAUUGCAUCUGCGAAAAAGCAUUAAGACAAGUGUAUGUUAUGGAGCAUAAAUUAAGGAACCUUUGAUUCUUUGAAUUGCUGAUUUCUUGUUUUUGUGUGUUUCAUGGCGUAUCAGACGACGACCAUUGCACCAGUUAGUGAUUGCUUUCAUAUCUAUUUGUGUAUGUUGUAAAUUAGUGAUUGCUCAUCUGAAAUUUCUUGAUACUUUGCACAUUGUAAUGUUAUGGUUGUAUUCCAUUGUGUUUCACAGGAAAAGGGCAUAUGAAGUAAAGGGCGAUAACUUAGAAGGCAAAUACAAGGAUUGGCAGAAGAAGCUACAUCCUGAUUUAGUUCAUACUAAAUCUGAGGUUGUGGCAUUAAUCAACUUCAGAAACAAAUUGACCAUUUUUCUGCUAAAUUAACAUCAGUUUUGAGCUAACCUUUUAUGUUGUCCGCUUAUCUUGCACAUAGGAUGAAAAAGCUUUUGCUGCUGAGCAGUCGGCCCGAGUAAUUGAUGCAUAUCGAACUCUCAUCAAUCCUUUGUCAAGGGCAUUAUACUUGGUGAGUUUGCCACUGCCUCUUUUUGGGAAUCUUGCCUUUAGGAUUUGGCAAUUUUAGUGCCCCCUUUUUUUUUCCGUCCGCUACUUUGGGACAAAUUUUAUGAGAUUCCCUGGUCUAUCUGUGUGUCAAAUAGAUAUCGAGAUCUCAGCCGCCGAAAGAUGUUAUUGAUCAAAGCUGCAAACAUAAACUUAGUUGACCAAAUUGUAAAAUAGAAAAAGAAAGAUGGAUUGCUUAUGUGUGGUGGCCUUAUAAUUUUCAUAAUAACCUCCGACUCAUGAAUGUCAAAAAAGUAUGUUAAAACUUCAGAAAGUUUACCAUUAGCUACUGGGUUAUACGUUGGACCUCAAUGAAUGCGAGUGAGAAAUUAAGAUGUUUCUUUCAAUGGGUAAGCCUAAUUCAAUCAAAUAUUAUGCCAUGAUCCGACACUCCUUAAUCAAAUUAGUUGAUGGUCAUCUUAACAGAUCGGCUAAACUACCUGUUUGUCCUUCGUCUGGUGCCUUUGGAAGUUGCAAGGUCUUGUACUGAUUCUGGAAAAUAUCUUUUCAUAGUUGAAUUUAUGAGAAAAGACUAUAGUUUGAUCAAUAUAUAUAUGAUGGUCAGAUAAUAGAAGGGUUUUCCCCCCCACUUCUAAAGCUAUUGCAUGCAUUUGUUCUCUACAGUUACGACUUGAGGGUGUACAAGUUGAUGAAGAGAAAACAAUCUCAGAUCCUGAACUUCUUGUUGAGGUAAAUUUAUUGUAGAUGCGUUUUCCUGUCCACCUAUUUCUUGGCAGCAAAUGUUUACUUUGGAUCGUCGAUAUAGUUUUGUUUUUAAUUUGCUAUAAAUACGUAGGAAAAUGAAUUUUAAGCCUUUCUUGUGCAGAAGACAACUUACUCUUAGCCAUUUGACUUGCCAGACUCCUUUAGAGAAGUGUUGUUUGAACAAUACUGACCUUAUUGGAUGCCCAAAUAAGUUAUUCGAUGAUAACUUUAUCGGUAUAAAAACUUUUUUGUGUGAUUGGAAGGUAGGAGUUUGAUUUUUGGUCCUUAAAAGGUCUGGGCAUUAAUAAUUUCGUAGGAUAGCAUAUUUAAUCUACAAGGUUAUUUAACUUAUUCUAAAAAAUAACUUGAAGGCGAAAUAUACUAUUCCAUUUCAGACACUUGAUCUCUCCUACCUUUCAAUUACAAUAUAAAAUCCAAAUACUGAAUUGGAUAUUACUAGGUAACUUAUUCCGGCUUCCAAAUAAGGCCUUAAUCAAUUCUCAAUCUUCUUAGCACCUAAUAUAUUUUAGUAAAAUCCCCGCAACAGCUUCGAACAUGUCCCUAAAAGCAAAAGUUUAAAAUUAGAUCUUCUGUUUGGGGCAUGCAAGCUCCUUUCUGUUUCCCGCCAAAGUUAGAAGCUGUAGGCCUUUUGUUUGCACAACACCUUAGUAUUUCUCGAGUAGAAAAAUUGCCUUUGGUAUUUCUCGAGGAGAAAAGUUGCCCUUAAAAGACGAUAGAUUAGCACUUAUUAUUCUCACUAAUUUAAUUCAAAUGUUCUUUGCAGAUGAUGGAGAUUCGCGAAGCCGUUGAUGAGGCCGAUGACUCUCAAGCCCUAGAGCGGAUAAAAUCUCAGGUUCUGCAAGAAACUACUUAAUCACUUAAAAAGUAUAUGAUUAUUCUUGAUUUUUCUCCUCAUUCCCCCUCAUUUUAACUAAUUUAGGUCCAAGGAAAGCUUGAAACCUGGUCAAAUUCGUUCAAGCAAGCAUUCGAAAAGCAGGACUUAGACACUGCAGUAGCCUCCACGCAGCGAAUGCGAUAUUACGAGCGUGCGAUGGAAGAGAUCGUCAAGAAACUUUAAUUGCGUUACUCACUAAAGCACUGAAACCCGACUGCGCAACUGAGUUCACAGAGCUCGAAAUCGCUCCCCUGUUGUUGAGUUGUUGGCGUUACAGCUGCCGGCUUUUCUGGUUAUCCCGGCAAUGAGAGCUAAAGAAUAUUCUUUGUAAUUUCAUUCAUAAGUUGGAGCAUAUCUUAUGAAUGAAUUCCAUCUUUGUAAUGUAUACGCGAUGCGCUUACAUAACAAAGCACAUGUUAAAGAGCAAGUUGUGAUCUUAUAUUCGUUUCUUUGAUAUAUUAGAGCGUUUGUAAUAAGUAUACAAGAUUUUGUUGAUCCCAGCUAACUAGGUUCUCAAGCAUGAGCAAUGUCAAUGUUGUAGUUCUAGGCAUAAUUAAACUUUACUGAACUCUUUGUGGUGUUUUCAAUGUCUAUAGUUAUACAUAUGCACUUACAUUGAAUUUCAAUUUUGUUCAGUUAUUCGUGCUGUGUGGUAACGAAUGAUAGAUGAAGUUAGGUAUGGUUUAAAAUUAAGUUUAAUUUCUAUUUUAGCGUUGAAAUUUGGAAAAACUUCAACGGUCAAUUACCACUUGUUAAAAUACAAUAUAUCUCUUAAAAAGAACGUUAUAAUUUCGACAGUCCCAACACAAAACCACAAAAUUAGAAAUUCUGUAUGCAUGGACCCCCCCUUUUUUGGUUAGACAAUGUGUGGUUGGGAAACAAGGAUCGGUUUUUUAGCAAGGUACGGAAUGUAUUCAAAUAGGUAUUUCCUAAAUCAAACGAAUUUUAUUCCUUCAACCAUUCCAUUUCGACAAAAGACCAUACCCAAGUUCAAUAGCUUUGCGUCCGCUAUCCCGACACAAAACCACAAAAUGGAGAAAAAAGAGAGCUCAAACUCAUUUAUGAAACGAUAAAAUGAUAAACUUAUUAUAAAAGAGAUCUAAGUAUGAAAUUUGAAGUUCAAACUCUAAGAAGAAUAAAAUCUUGCAAAACUAGUACUCAUUAAGGCAAUCUUCCAAUACUAGGAACGAGUGCACCACAACAUAAACAAAACAAUAAUUCGAAAACAAUAAUUAGCACAUAAGAAACAACAAAAGCCCACCAAGUUUCACGCGAUGCAGUAGAUAAAUAUGUCAUAUUGUUUAACUACUUAACCUAUGUUCUCAAAAGAGAAAUUUAUAGAUAUAAUUUAGAAAAAACUUCAAAAAUCCCCCCUAUGCUAUGGCGUAGCUGCACUUUACUAUUCCGUGAAUCAAAGUGCGGCGCACUUUGCUAUCUUGUGAUUUUUGGUUUUUACUUUCCGUAGCAACAACAAUACGCGGUUAAAUAGGAUAGCACAUAGUAGUUAGAGAGUAGAUUACAACCACAAUGUCAUUUGCAAUAUAUAAGACUUUGCAAUCUGAUUAGCAGCAGGUCUUUAUUGAAAACAAAAAUAAAAACCGCGAGACAACAAAGUUUUAUACUUCGAACCAUAGUAAACUGCUAAAGCACCAUACUACAGGGGGGUUAUUUGAAGUUAUCCCUGUAUCUUAUACGCCGAGUUCUGCAGAUAGAUUUUUACAAAGCUUGAAAGAAGCAAGUAAAGAUAUAGAAGAGAAGUUCUAUUCACUUCUUUUCCGUAGGUAGGCCGACGAAGAAUUUGCGGAUCAACCUCUCAUAAUCCUGAAUUGAAAGCAGACCUCUUUAGACCCGACCUGAAAAAGUGCAAGGAAAUCAGUCUUUUCUUUUCCCUCAUUCUGAUGAAACCAAUUCACAAAAGUAAACAAAUAUUCUCCACAUCAUUUAGCCCGUUGAUACAAUUACAAGGACGGAAGGAGCAGAAAAACGCAAAGCCAGAAGAGCAUUCAGUCAGACGCAGAUCCAGAAGUUCUAUCGACAGGCAUAAUAUGUACUGAAGAAAUGUCCACAUCUUGAGCAAGGAAAAUGUGAAAUUUUGAAGGAAAUGCAAUACAAAAAACACUAUUUUCACUUAAUGCAAACAAUUUACCAAUUCCGUCUAUGUUUCUCCAGCAUGAAAUCUCCCUCGUUGAAAAUUGGAAAGAAAACUAAAACAAGAUAACAAAUACAAAUGUCUGUCGCAGAAUGAGCAGUUCGCGGAAAGGAGAGGGAACAGAAUAGUAAAUGAGAGCAAACAAGUGAUAUAUCCAGUUAGUGUUCUAUGAUAAUAUGGGAAAACUGUAACUCUGGUAUCAAAUCAGCUAGAAUCAAAUUCUAAGCGGGCCAAACCGCUGAAUUUGGUCUAAGGGCUUAAUUGUGAAACUAAUAAUUUUUUAGUUCAAAUUUCAUAUUUGACGAUCAAGAUGCCGUUUACCUGCAACAUAUAUCGUAGUUCUGAUAUUUGAAAGUGGAUGAACCUUAAGAAUCAGUACCAAGCACUUGCGGAGCCCGUUACCUUAUGAAGAAUAGUUUAUUUUGGACCAGAAGCCGAUGAAGUAGAGUCACUUAGAAGAGCAGUUGUGGGACCUGACGACAGUGUGAUCCUCUCUCUAGUUGUCUCUGUAGCCAAAGGAUCUUGAAUGUUUGACAGACCAGAAUUCAUUGAAGGCCCAGUACCAUCCCUAGUUUCGAGACGCUCCAUCAUACGCGACACGGUAGCGAUUCCCGCAUUAAUCUCUCUCUUGACUUCAGAACCCAGAUCCGAUAUAGCACUGUUUCGGGAGAACAGCUUCUCUUUCCACCCUCUCGUACUUUUUGUUAUCGAUUCUUUAUAUCUAUUUUGCCAUUACAGAAGAAACUCACAGUUAAAUACGUGUUUUGACUCUAAUGCACCUUCAAUUUAUCUGAAUUUUCUUUCAUGCCUUUUAAAAACUAAAUUCUCUAUAUAUAUACUCUUGUAUGUAAAAGCUUCACCCCAUGGAUUGGAUGAAUUCCCCUAUUUAAGCAGGGAAUAUUUGCAAGAAGCUACAAUUUCGAGAGGCAAAUGAAAAUUCACAUUUCACAAAGAUGAAUAUGUAAUUAGAAUUGUAGAGGCAUAUUAAAAUUCACAUUUCACAAAGAUGAAUACGUAAUUAGAUGGACUAGCAGGGGCAUAUAAGGAAAGGAACCCUUGUUUUGGCAAAAGUUCAGACAUUUAAAACCAUAAAACUUAAAGGUACCUCAUUGAGACUGCAUUAAGGCGAGACUUGAAAGAGUCUGAGAAGGACUGGAAAUCAGAUGGUCCAGCUCUAUCUUGGCUUCCAGGCGUAGGUUGACCAGAUGAGUUCCUGAUUUCAAGAAGGGCAUUAAUAUGAUAGAACAUAAAGACGUACAGGGUAAAGUGGCGUAGAGAUGCACUUAAUUCUAGGCCAAUCUGAACCCUCCCAUCCUCCUUUCCUCUUCUUUCUUUCCUUUUUUAUUUUGGUUGAUUUACAACCACCCAACUUUUGUUUGUUUCAUUUGACUUGCUUCCAUCGAUCAAAACAAGCGCUUAAUUAUAAACAACGGCUCUAUUCAGUUCCAACCAUUAACAGUUUAAAAGAAGACAUUCCAGUAAAACGAAAAGCGAGUAGAGCAAUUUUAUUCGUCAUAAUUUCUGUUAAAAUUUAAUGAAAUCUCCAAUCUAACGGACAGAAAUUGCUCAAAUUAAAACAAACAAUACUUAAGGAGGUUUAAUUUAAAAAAUUUAAGGGGUUUGGGGUUUCCAUUCCAAGAUGGCCUAUGUAUGUUGAGAGGGAAAAACUAUAAUCAGACCAUGACAAUUACCGGUUAUUAGAUAGACCAGGACUAUUAGCAAAGUUUGUGCCAGAAGCGAUAGGAGCUGAAGGAUUAAGAGAAUUUAUAGCUGGGACUGACUCAUCUUCCCCUCUAUUAGCAGAUAACGGAGACGAAGAUACGGCAGGAGGAGCACUCUGACGCCUUGAGUACACCAUAUGUUGAGUACGGCCAUGAUCUGCCGGUCUACCACGAUUUCCUUCUCUUCUAUGAAUACGAUAGGUUCUACCCAUCGCGGCAGCAGCCGCCAAGUGCUGUAUAAUGCGCUCUUCCAGAUCUGCAUCUUCAGCUCCUACAGGAAGCUGGAAAAAAUAAAGGAACUGUUAAACUGUGAAGAGUCCAAUCAAAUACAUGUUUGACAGACGGACAAAAUUUCAAAAUAAGUAUCUGGGACCAGAACAGAAGUGCCGGUUGGGAGCCUCCCAUUCUGCUGCAAGGAGAAGCAGUUGGGGAGAUUUUAGCACAGAAAUUCUCCUAAUAGCGACAAAUGAGCAUCCCAAUAGUUUUCCACUGAAGAAGCAGAAGCUCCCUGAUUGUUAAACUUUUUGUCUUUAAUCUCCUUUCAACUUCCUACCACAGCAACAACUGCCAUUUUUUUCUUUGUUUUUUUUUUUUUGGGUGCAGUGCAAACAUCAGGCUGCCUUUUGGAAGUGGAGAAGCUGCUCCGGAAGGUAGGCUAAAGAGGAAUAGAAACUAUUUGACAAGGAGAAGCCAUUAAUAUAUGAACAAAUAUGGCUGCAUGGUUAGAACUAUACGUGCUGCACUUCAAAAUCGCCAAGCAUUGGUUGCGGAAGACUGGUAGCACUGCGUGGUCGGUUAACCCGGGAGUUCCUCUCUUUUUCUACGGCCUCCAGUAGUUCUUGGCUAAACAACAAUGAAGCGAAGUAAGUUCUGAGAGAGAGAGAGAGAGAGAGAGAGAGAUUUAUGCUAGUAAACCUGGUAGGAUCCUUCAAGCUGAUGGGCUGCCAACACAUGGGGCAUUGGGAGCUCCUCUGGCACCUUGAGACAAAAAAUUAAUUAGAAUGCUUGAAAUCUAAAUGAUGAAAAAGCAUCCAAGUUACCUAAUGGAAAACAUCUUAGUAGUAUCGAAAAGCUAAUGAAAAAAAAAUGUAGGCGUGUAAUAUAUCAAAAUAAAGGAUAAACGCUACGAUUUGAAGUGUCACCUAUUCACUGCAAAACCGUUUAGCUGAUCAUCCAACAAAUAUGAAUAAAUGAAGCAAGUAUUCAACCAAAAUAACUCUCGUAUCAAAGUUCAAGUGUUUUCUCAAUGAAUUCUACCAAGAACAAAGAACAAAGAAUAAAAGACAUUCCCAACUCCUCGGAAAACAAACUAUAGCAUUAAUUGGAACCAUUUGGAGCAUAUACCAAUUGGUAGUUGUAGAAGACUACUACAAGAUUCAAGAAACCUCAGAAGGUACUCAGCAAGUUUGGAUUCUCUCUUAUGAAUCAUCCUAUUUUAACUGCUUGUAAAAUGACAAAAUACUCAAAAUAAAACCUAAAAAGCAGAGACUGAGGACAUUCAUAUGUAAGGAAACCAAGAUAACAUCAUGAUUUACAAGUAGAAAAAAGCACAAAAUCUAGUAGCCAAAGUCCUCAAAACUAACCACUGUAGAUGUGACAACUAUUUCGGUAACCAGAUCACGAAAGAUACAGCAAAUGAAGAACAAUGGGAAAAACAAGGAGCAUUAAACCUAUGAGAAGAGACGCAGCAUCUAAAAUCUAAAUUAAAGUAAUCGAAAUAAUAAAUCAAAAUACAGAACAUAAGGUAGAGAAUUACCAUUCAAGAAUGCAUUGCAGAUGAAACUCAUGCCUGCAACCAGUCACCUGAACAAUCAUCACAACGAGUCGACAACACAUGCUAAGAACAAUUUAACCAACCACUACAAACAAAUCGAAACUCUAAAAAUAUCAAUAUAAAUCACACUACUAUGAAUCAAAAGAGAACAUAUAUAUUUCCAUACCGUAGAGGGAUCGCUGUCGCAGAACGCUUCGAGGCAUAUGCUGCAUGAAUCAUCACAAGCAUCCUGAAUCCCCCCUUCAACGAACGCCGCAGCCGAUGUCGCGUGGCCGUCCAUCUACACCCAAAAAAUUGAUCUCAACAAAUUCUUAAUUCGACUAAACAAUUAAAGAAAACAAUCUAAAUUCGACGUCUCCGCAAAAACCUAACAACAUUCAUCAAUAAAUCGACAUCCUCCGAUCAAUUUCCAUCAAAAAGGAUACUUCUUUUCAGCGGAAUUGCAUAAAGAUUUCAUCUUUUUUAGUAAUUAAACACGAACCCGAAUAUUCCAAACGUGCCGACCAAUCCUCACAUGAAAACACACGGAAAUUCCCAAAUUUCAAGGAGCAAACAAGCGAAUCGCGAUGCAGAUAAGAAAGGAAGCGAUCGUGAUCAACAAAGGCAAAUCAAUCAAAGUAAAGAAUCGGAAAAAGAGCGGGUGAAAGAGGGAGGAAUCGGAGCGCGUACCACCGCGGAGACGAUGCGUUGGGCUAGGGUUUGUGGGAAUUGGGGGUCUCCGAGUCGAUUUAGAGGUCGAAAUCGUUGAGGCGAGAUGCGACAAGUAGGGUGAAGGGAAAGCGAAGAGAGAGAGAGAAAGAGAGAGAGAGAGAGUGGCGUUGCGAUGCGUUUAUCUCGCUCCUCUUUCUCUCUCUCUCUCUCUCUUCGUUUUCUCUCUCUACGUAUUAAUUAAUUUAAUAUAUUCGGCGUGUACGUACAUAUCAUAGCGGUUGGAUGGGUUACACGUGGCGUUAUUUUGUCGAUGAUUUUGGUCGAUGAUUACGUCAUCUAAUCCAAUGCGAAAGACCAUAGCUAAUUUAUUUCUUUAUUUAUCCCGUGUCGUGACUCAUUUAUGAAAAUAUAUAAAAUAUAUUGCCUGCACCCAGUGUAUCCGUACGCGGUAUACACCGCAUAAACUUUUAACCAUUUAAAUAAAUGUCUUAAAAUCCAAAAUCAAAUCCCACAAUUUUUUUUUUUAAAAAAAAUAGAAGGUAUAAAAUUUUAAUAUUAACGCAUUGAGCAGCCUCAAUUAUCUACAGUAGAUAAAAUUCUUUUAUUUAAUUUAUGAGAAAUUAGUUUCUGAAAUUUAUAUUAUUUUAUAUGUAAGGUUUUUUUUUUUGGUGUUCAAAUAUAUAUUUAUUGAGCAAGCUGUGUAUAGAUUUUGAAACCGCCUCGAGAAAAUCUUAAAAAUAAGUGCGGUGUAGAAGAUAUAGUUAUACACUCGGAGCAGAGAAUUUUUAAAAAUUAUGGGUAAAAGUGUACGCAUAGACCCUGCUUUAUUACAUUACCAGCAUUGCUACUCGUACGUUACUAGACUAGUAUUUUACAUUUUAAUAUUGUGAUCAUAAUAUUUAGAGCUUUCCUUGCAUUUGCAUUUGGUCCCUCAAAAAUUUAUUUUUAUAAAAAGCUCCAUCAAAUUUAUAAUUAUAAUUUUGGUCCUAUCCCUAUCACGCAGAUGCUACGUAAGCGCCAAACAAACAAGAGGAGGUGUUAAAAUAAGUUGAACACAGUAAUCCAUUUAUCGUGUCUAAACACAAUGAAUGAUUCACUGUGUUUGAAAAAAAAUAUAAAUAUUUGUAUUGCGAAAAAAUAUAAGUAUUGAAAAGAGAGAAUAGAGAAAAUAUAAGUACAAAACACAAUGAAUGAUUCACUGGGUCUAGAAAAAAUAUAUGUAUUGCGAAAAAAUAUUAGCAAAAAAAAAUAAGAAUAUAAGUAUGGAACACGGUGAACCAUUCAUCGUAUUUAACUUAAGGUGUUGAUAUGGCGCAUGCGUGGCGGGGCUAGAACCGAAUUUAUAAUUAUAAAUUUGAUGAGAUUAUUUAUAAAAAAAAAAUUAAGGAGACCUAAUGCAAAAAAGUGCUCUAAUAUUUAAAUUUUAUAGAGCAAUACUACAUGUGUAUUCUGAAGGCCAGUAAAUCUUACAACCUUUUUAUCUAAAAAUUAAUUUUCCUUUCUUAUCUUGCUAGUCUUUCUAAAAAUUAUAUAUUAAAAAAUUAGAAAAAUUUACAAAUCUUAAAAUGAGGAUUGUAUGACAUACAUGUAUUUAUUAAAAUAAACAAUCAGCUUAAAUUUUACUAGUGAAAUACCCGCGCGAUACUACAGAUUUAAAAAAAAAUUUAAUAAAUUUUAGUUUUUUAUAUUUUUAAAUAAUUUUAUAAGUCUAAUUAUUAAUUAAAUAAAAAUUAUAUAAAAAUAAUUUAAUAGUUAAUUUUAUUUAAAUAAAAUUUAUUAAAACGACAACUUAUUUUAUAAAGAUUUAUGCGAAAAAAGAUUUGNNNNNNNNNNNNNNNNNNNNNNNNNNNNNNNNNNNNNNNNNNNNNNNNNNNNNNNNNNNNNNNNNNNNNNNNNNNNNNNNNNNNNNNNNNNNNNNNNNNNNNNNNNNNNNNNNNNNNNNNNNNNNNNNNNNNNNNNNNNNNNNNNNNNNNNNNNNNNNNNNNNNNNNNNNNNNNNNNNNNNNNNNNNNNNNNNNNNNNNNNNNNNNNNNNNNNNNNNNNNNNNNNNNNNNNNNNNNNNNNNNNNNNNNNNNNNNNNNNNNNNNNNNNNNNNNNNNNNNNNNNNNNNNNNNNNNNNNNNNNNNNNNNNNNNNNNNNNNNNNNNNNNNNNNNNNNNNNNNNNNNNNNNNNNNNNNNNNNNNNNNNNNNNNNNNNNNNNNNNNNNNNNNNNNNNNNNNNNNNNNNNNNNNNNNNNNNNNNNNNNNNNNNNNNNNNNNNNNNNNNNNNNNNNNNNNNNNNNNNNNNNNNNNNNNNNNNNNNNNNNNNNNNNNNNNNNNNNNNNNNNNNNNNNNNNNNNNNNNNNNNNNNNNNNNNNNNNNNNNNNNNNNNNNNNNNNNNNNNNNNNNNNNNNNNNNNNNNNNNNNNNNNNNNNNNNNNNNNNNNNNNNNNNNNNNNNNNNNNNNNNNNNNNNNNNNNNNNNNNNNNNNNNNNNNNNNNNNNNNNNNNNNNNNNNNNNNNNNNNNNNNNNNNNNNNNNNNNNNNNNNNNNNNNNNNNNNNNNNNNNNNNNNNNNNNNNNNNNNNNNNNNNNNNNNNNNNNNNNNNNNNNNNNNNNNNNNNNNNNNNNNNNNNNNNNNNNNNNNNNNNNNNNNNNNNNNNNNNNNNNNNNNNNNNNNNNNNNNNNNNNNNNNNNNNNNNNNNNNNNNNNNNNNNNNNNNNNNNNNNNNNNNNNNNNNNNNNNNNNNNNNNNNNNNNNNNNNNNNNNNNNNNNNNNNNNNNNNNNNNNNNNNNNNNNNNNNNNNNNNNNNNNNNNNNNNNNNNNNNNNNNNNNNNNNNNNNNNNNNNNNNNNNNNNNNNNNNNNNNNNNNNNNNNNNNNNNNNNNNNNNNNNNNNNNNNNNNNNNNNNNNNNNNNNNNNNNNNNNNNNNNNNNNNNNNNNNNNNNNNNNNNNNNNNNNNNNNNNNNNNNNNNNNNNNNNNNNNNNNNNNNNNNNNNNNNNNNNNNNNNNNNNNNNNNNNNNNNNNNNNNNNNNNNNNNNNNNNNNNNNNNNNNNNNNNNNNNNNNNNNNNNNNNNNNNNNNNNNNNNNNNNNNNNNNNNNNNNNNNNNNNNNNNNNNNNNNNNNNNNNNNNNCCUUCCUUUAUGAGAAUGAUAAUGAUUUUUCUUAUCCCUUAUAUAAGCUAUUUUUCCAUUGCUUUAUGCUAUAAGUCAUUUUGAGUGUGUUAUUAAAUUUUUCAAAAUUUUAAUUUUAUUAUUUAGUAUUUUAAUUUAUUUGAUUUGAAUCAGUCAACGAUAUUUUAAUUUUAAAAUUUGAAUAUACCAUUUAUUUUUGUAAGUGUAGUUUAUAGAUUUCACACAGUUGUUGUAGCUAUAUAUUCAUUAAAUUAAACAAUUAGCUUAAAUUUCAAAGUCAAAAUACCGUUAAUUGAUUCAAAUCAAAUAAAUUAUAAAAUUAUGAUAAAUUAUCAUGCAAAAAAAAUUUAUUUAGAGGGCAAUAUUUGGCCCAAUAUUCAAUCAUCAUGCAAAAAAAAAAAAAAACUGAAAUAGAGAUUUUAUUUGAUACUGCACUCAACCAUCAUCCACAAGAAAGACCUGGCUCUAAAGGCAUUGUUUAUACCAGGAUUUAUUUAUAUAAUAAUUAAAAAUUAUAAAAAUUUAAUUUUUGCUUUCAAAAUCUUAUUUGAAUGUAUGAAUAUUUUAUUUAGUAUAUUUUUUAAAAUUAUUUAAAUAUUAGAAUAAGCUGAAUUUCAGUGAUAUUAUGUUCAAAAUAAAUUUUUUUUAUUAUAAUUAAAAAUUAAAAGUGCAAUCAAAUGUUUAAAGUAAAUAACAUAUUCAAAUUUUUUUUUUGAAUGAGAUAAAUCAUCUCAGAUACUAUCCUAAUAAAUUAUAAAUAUCAAGAUAUUUUAAACAGUAAAAAAAUCAAACUUCUAUAUUCUAAAUAAACAAGAAAAGUAUGGAAAAAAAUUUGAGAAACAAAUUUUUCAUGAAAAAUCCCUUACUUAAUUUUCCGCCUCUUUGAUUCCAAAAAANUUAUACAAAGGGAAGGCUCCUAAAGUCCAAACAGAAGCGCAAGUGAGGAGGAGAGAAGCAGCUUUGGCUUUUAAGCGAUGGAUUGGUUUGACAUGAAAGCAUAUUGACUAUCCUUUAAAUAUUGAAGAUUGGGAAAAAUACAAACUCGGGUUUUUGAUGGUAUGAAGAAUCAGGGUCUUCCCUGGAACUUGUGGUCUAAUGUAUGCAUCUGGGGGUGAAAGUGGUUCCCUGUAUAUUCCAGAUUUUUGUAUCUGAAUUUUAAGAAAUUCAGGUCUGGGUUUUGUAUAUUCUGAGACGAAAGAUUAUGUAUCCUUAAUUAUGAAUGUAUUAUCCAGAUAUAGUUGCGUUUUGAAAUUUGAAGUACUAACUGGGAUUUAGAUCCUUACAUCACGUGUAAACUAGAUAUCUUGAUGAGAAUACAAUAGCUUAGUAAGAGCUAUAUUUUUGUUUUUCUUUUUCUCUGUGCACGUUUUAUUUAUGAAUAUUAUGCUGUAUAACCUUUGAUAUGUAAUAUCUAUAACCCUAAUGAAAGUCCGUGUUAUUUUGUCCACAUGACAGUAUUAGCUUAAUUAACCUUUGUGGGCCCUAUCUGUCAUCCUAAGACACUUUACUAAUUAAUUCAUCCCCAAACAAAUAUCUUUUCCUACUCUGCUUCCCAUUUCCAUUUAAUUUUCCCUUCGCCCUUCGAUCCCUCUCCCACUACCCGCCUCUUCGAUCCCUUCCCCACUCCCCGCCGCUUCGGUCCCUCCCCUACUCCCGCCGCUUCGAUCGCUCCCCGCCUCUCGCCGCUUCGAUCUCUACCCCGCCUCCGCUUCGAUCCCUCCUCCGUCUUUCUGCUUGGGGUCGAGCCCCCAUCGGCGCAUGGCCGCGACGAAGUCCUUGGUCUUGGGGCCGCCGGCGAACUGGUCCUCGAAAUCCUCCACGACGAGGGCGUCGGCGGCGGCGCUGGCGAGGGCGGUGGAGAUUGCGAGGCGCUUCUCCUUACGGUUGAUCUUGACGAACCAGUCGUGGGGCUUGGGGCCGAAGACGACGCCACCGCCGGGCCGGAGCGGGGUGCGCUGGGAGCCGAGGCGAGCGCGCCCCGUCUUCUUUUGGGGCUAGGGCUUCCUGCCGCCGCCGCGCACCUCGACGCGGGUCAGGGUAGAGGCAGUGCGGCGCCGCCUGUUCUGGCGGUUGGUGACGAGGGCCCAGUGGACGACAGCGCGGGCGGUGUCGGGAGGCGCCGACCGCAGCUCGAGCGCUGCCUUGCCCACCUUCUCUCCCGAGAAGGAGAGCACCGGGAGGGUCGCGAGCUCCGAGCGGACGACGCGGAGCGCGGCUCCCUUGCAGGGGGUCAUAGGGGAUUUGCGCUGGGUGCGGAGCGGAGAGGCGAGGAGGAAGAGGGAGGUGGAGGAGCGCCACCGCAACGACGACGACGACGACGACGACAAGGAGAGAGAAGGAGAUGCCGCCGAGAUCGGCAUCGGAUAAGCGGAUCAGAAGCUCAUCAGGACGAGCCCUCGGAUCGAUUGGUUCGAUGUCGAGGCGCUCGAAGUCACGGGAGUGCAGAAGAAUGAGGACGAGGUACGAAUUGCUCCACGCCGUUAGCUUUGCUGAGAUCUACGGGCUCCUAAUUCCUCCGAUAUUUUUGUUUGCGAAUUAUUUGAUGAUUUUAUCCGAAUAUGGGAUUUGAAAGGUUAAAUUUGUGGGCGAUUUUGUUAAUUUUUACAGUAUAAGAGUAUAUAUCAUGAGCCCACUAUUUUUUUUUUCCAGCGUGGGCGAGCGCAGCGGGCGGGCGGCAGCAGCGGGCACGGGCGCUAUCCCUGCCUCCUUUCCCUGUCACCCCGCAGGGCGCGGAGGUCCUGCAGAUCCGCGGUGCGGGCGGGCCCGCCCACGCUGCCAUGUGCGUGCGACCCGCGCCCGGCGCCCGCUUGCGCCCCUCGCGCGCCGCCCCCUUCUAGAUCUGCAGCUCCUGCAGAUCUCUCUCUCCCCGAUCCCGUCUCUUAUGUCUCUCCGACCUCUUCCUGAUCUCGCUCGGAGAAGCUCGCAAGCCCCCGCGGCCUAAUAAGCGGAGUUCUGCAAAUAAGUAUUUGUUACUUCAAGUCAGGUAUUUAGAUCUGUGCUUUUAGAGAAAGAAGCAUAUAUGAUGCACAUUUUCCACUUAUUCUGUGUAUGCUGUGAUUUAAAUGAUAACCUCUCCCUAGCGCUCGCGCCCUGUUCGACGAAAUGCCAAAUGUGUGCUUUUAGAGAAAGAAGCAUAUAUGACGCACAUUUUUCAUUUAUUCUGUGUAUGUUGGGACUUAAAUGAUACCCUCUCCCUAGCGCUCGCACCCUGUUCGACGAAAUGCCAAGGUGAUAGCAGGACGCUUCAUGUGAGCAAUGCUAUAUUUGUAAUUUAUUUUGGAUUGUAGAUCUUACUGGUAGUUAUGUUAAUUUAAAUUUUUAAAAUCUGUUAGUCAGGGAUCACAAUUCUUGAAUCUUCCUACAACCUAGACAACGGCAGAAUCAGGUUAUAAUAAAAUCAAAACAAAGUCAUACAAAAUUAGAAUGCCAAAAAUCUACAUUAAAGUUUGCCAAGUUGCUUAAGGUAAAGUUUUAUCCUGCUCUAUUAAAAGAGAUGUUGGUGUUUCUUUUUUUUUAAUGCUUCAAUUCCUCCGUUAGAACCUCUUCUAUGAUGACUUUUCCUUUAAAUAUCAAACUUGGAUAAUUCAUAGUGUUAUAGUUUCUGUUUUUUUUACUUUUAUUUGGGUACUCCGGCUAAUGCUUCACCAAAACCGAAACAUGGAUAUGAUAAUAAUUAGUUUGAUGAGAGGAUACGAUAGUAUUUAAUCUUAUAUUUUGGUGACCCUAUGAGCAGUUCAGUCCCCUCUAAAGUGAAGUGGUUCUUAUACCCUACAAUUACAUCUUUUAAGCUUAAUUUGUAUUGAGCUAUGCUAAUAUUACAAUAUAAUGCUUUCUAACAGAUAUGUACUAAACUAUGUAGUUUUGUGUAACUAAUUAAUAUCAGUUAGACGAUUUUUUGUGCUUCCAUAAACAGUUCCUGUUUUAGACAGUGCGACAUGGCACCUUCUUGAUGAAAACGAACAACUUCUUAUCCAGAUCACAUCAAAUCUUGAAUUGUUCAAGGUGUGUAUUGAGAAAAUCACUCUCUACAGUCAAAAAGAUAAUGAAUAUCUUUCUCUCAGAUCUAUUUGUUGCUUUCCAUGAAAUUUUACACUGCUGUUACUGCAGAUACAGGAGAAUAUGGAUCCUUUUCUUCGCACAAGUAACAACAUCGCAACAAUUUUGAAUAGGUAUGUGCUACCAGUCAUAUCUUCCCAAUCUGUUAGUUGGCAAAAUAUUUGUGCCUGGAAAUGUGCGCGCAAGGGCGAGUAGUGAUUUGAUGAAUAUGGCAACUGUGUAAUGCAGAAUGAGUCAGACUCCUGGGAUUAUGUGUUGGAUGCCUCCUUUGCCCAUUUCACUUAAUGAGGAACAUCUAAAUUCACUUAUCCAAUUUAGCAGAAGGGUAAGACCUUCCCUCCUGUUUAAUUUGUACAAAUGAGAUAUUAUCUUAUCAUUGUCUGGUUUAAUCAGAUAUUUACAGUCGAACUAUUUUCUGAGCACGUAAUUUUUUAAAAAAUUUUAUGCUCCUUGGCUACCUGAACGCAAUUUCGUUGCUUAAACAAUCAAUCAAAUUACGUUUUGCUUUAGUAGGGAUUGUGCUUACUGUCGCUUACCAGUGAAUAACGUUCUCCUUCUAUGAAAAGGCUAUUAUUAUUAUUAUUGUUAUUGUUAUUCUUAUAUAUUUGAUACAAGUAUUUUUUAUAAUUUUUGCUUACUAAUGUUGUCUGCAUCUAUCUACUUUCUAUUAUUUAACAUAUGUUUCUGUUCAUUACCUAUCUUUGCUUUCAAAGCUUUUUAUCAAUAGUAUUUUGCAAUCUUCUUUUCUUUCCUUUUUUAUGAGUUAGAAUUUUUUUCUCCGCCACUUGCUCAUAGUUUGAAUAAUAAUAGAUAGUACAAAGCUUGCUUACUAUUUUCUGAUGUUUUGAUACUUUUUAAGAUUUGCCUUUUUCGUAUUCUAAUUUCUUAAAAAUUAGUGCAUGUGUGUUACACUUGAGAUUUCUUACAUGCUCUUCCUGCCACUUCUUGCUCCCAGUUAUUUCUAUGGACAAUUUUGCCACGGCAAGCUCUGCUGCGAAGCUUGGCCUUUUUGCCCCAGCAAUGGGCAUCCUUCUCCUUCAAAUCGCUCAAUUCCAUCGAAUGACUCUCAAAUCCCCAAUUUUCACUAAAAUUAAACCUAAUUUGCGUCAAUAUUUUAGGUUUAAUUUUGUUUGAUAAUUUAGUGCUCAGUUUAGGAUGGUGAGGUCUCUUUCGUGUAAUUUUGUCUUCCUAUUUGACGCAACCCUCGCCACGUAUGACAGUCCACUUUAUAAAAUACAUCGUCAUUUGCAGCACACCUAGGCCAACUUUGCGGCAACGAUCUUUUAUUACAAAGUAUGAGACAUAAUGGUUCAAAUUACCUAAUCUUUGCUUUGGUCAACUGUUAAAGCUUCUACAAAUUCAAGUUUUUUGCAGGAAUCUCAUUGCGCUUGCUAUACUCUAUUUUUGCAAGCAUGGAAGCAUUAAUUUUUGCUCAGCUUAGUGUCAAAACAGCCUUAUUGGCUUUUGCUAUGUAUCCCAUAUAGAAAAAUAUAGCUUCUCAUAAAGUUUUUAUAGUCCUAAUUUAUUUUACCAUCUAAUAUAAUUUGCUGUUGUCUUCAAUUAUAUGGUUUGUUUCGGAUACUACAUAUCUUAACUUUCGAGACUUUAUCUGACUCUCUUUUGUGCAAUUAUUUUUUUUGUUUUAAUAUGAUUGUCAUAAAUAACAUUUUAUAUGAAUUUGCAUUAUGAAUAUUACUAACAUUUUUAAAGUAAAUGUGUUCUACUUUCUACAAAAUAACUUAUAGAAUAAAUUUUAAAUGAUUAUAAUAUAUCUACCCGCCGCAUCGCGCGGGUCACUACACUAGUAACAAUAAUAAAGUGUAUAAAUACUGAAAAAGACCCCACAGGCCACAGCACACCACCCAUAUAAUAAAGAGCUCAUUCUUUGGUCCAACACUUAAUCAUUAAUAAAUCCGCAUGGAAAUAAAUCUCAGAGGCUUAUCAAGUUUGUGCAAAGAAAUCAAACGUUAUUAACUUUUUUGUAUCCGAAAUGUGAACAGAACAUGAUGACUUUGAAUUUUACAAAAAUAUUACCGAAUAAAAAAGUUACACAUUAAAAGUCAUUUUUAGAGGCGUGUAUUUAUAACAACUUAAAAGUUCUGAAAAAUCACUUCAUUCCGCCUUUAUUUUCUCUUGAAACAUACACAAAUUCUUUAAUCUUUUUCCGUUCUCGGUUGCAUAGUUUUGCAAGGAAUAAGACUUUUUUAAGAAUGAACCUUGAGAUCAAUCAUAAUUUAAGCAACCCACUGUGUCUCUGCAUUGAACUGAACUAUUCCUCUUCCACUUAUUUCCGCUGUACUUUCCUUCAUCAGUGAGAAGGAUCUUAUCCCUUAUUGUUAUUUUCUUUUUCUUUGUUGUUGUUUUUUUUUUUAAUAUCUAUUCGUCGCCUCACACAGAUUAUUAUACUAGUAAUUCAUUAAAAAGUAGAGCUUAAUUACACGUUUACCAUUUCAAGAAAACAAAACCAGAACCAAAAAAAACGAAAAAAAUAUAUCUAUAAAAAUCGACCCUCUAAGUCCGAACAUCAACUUAAAAAACAUAAAUACCGACCGUCUCUAGAGCAAGUGGCAAAGGGCUUGGUGGUUGGUAUCCAAGACCCAAGUUCGAAUCCUAGUUGAUUCACAUUUCCAGCUAAGUUUAUUUUUAAAUGAAAUAAACGAAGCGGAUAGCGUGCUAUCUAUCUCUCAAAAAAAAAAAAACUUAAAAAACAUAAAUCAAGCUUCUAAACUUGAAGUCUACGUUGAAAAUAAAAAACAAAUUAUGACAAAACAAAAAUAAAAAAAAAACAAUUAUCCAAAUCUCGAUCUCGAAUUGGCUUAAGACCUUGGACAGCAAAUAUAAAAUAAAAAUUUAUAAAACUUAUCUUCAAUUUUUUACAAUUUAUUCAAUCCAUAAAUAGAGAAGUAGGUUUUUUUUUUUUCUUGAAACUUCAUAAAAUUAUUUGCAAGACAUGCCACCAAAAAAACUAUUUUAGUUAGUAACUUCAUUUGAGGUGAAUGUCUAAUUAAAUUAUUUGGUAAAUAUUAAAUAUAAAAAUAUUUAAACACCGUUUUUUAACAGCUUAAGCUUUUAUAGUAUAAUGGUUGUUUCACAUGGUAUCAGAGCAGGAAUUCCUAAGUUCGAGUCACGGUAGGCUCUUAGCAUAUUAAUUUCCUCCCAUUUAAUUCAAGCCCACGUCAUGGGCUUAGAGUACAACGAUUGUUUCACUGUAAAGUCUAAAAAAAGAUUUACUUUGCAAAAUUUAAAAGUUUAAGCGGUGUGUUCGUGAAUUUAUCGCUUUUAUAGAAUUGUAGGUUAAAAAUAGGGUGAUUUAGGCAGCAACAUUUUAGAAAAAAUAAGCAUACAAAGAGAAGCAGUUCUGACUUGAAUUAAAUAGAAAAAAAUUAUAUAAACUCGCAAAUUAGGCGACUGAAUAAAAAGAAUAAAAGGUUGAGAGAGAUAAUAAACCAAUUAAUUUUGCUACUAUUUAAUGCAACUCUAUUGUAGCUUGGUUAGAUUAUGGUUGGAAAAAUUGGUUGGACACAACCUAAGCCACCAAUUUCACACAAGUUGGUCCGAAUCAGGUGCGAGUUCUAGGGGAUGAUGGUUCACCAAUUGCACGUGACUCAUCCGAAUCGGUUGAAUCAUUGAGUUAGUUUCAGUAUAGUUUCAAUCACUGAAGCUGUCGUUAUUUAGUUUCAAUUUAAAGUGUGUUACAUAAACAUGAUUCUGUGUAAAAAUUCGAAUAUCUAUCGAUCGAAAAGAGCCAAAUAAGGAAAGAGUUUUCAAUGUGUUUUAACGUAAAUUUGUAAGUUACUCAUUAAGAGAAACAACUAAUAAGGGAUAUCCAAAUUGAUGAACUUUGCCUCAACGGUCAAAUUAUUUUAAAUUCUCCUCAUCAUGAAUGUUGAACUAAAAAGAUUAUUAAAAUAUUAAAUAUAUAUUUAUAAAAUACUUAAAUAUAAACAACAACUGGGUCCAUAGCUCAGUGGUAGAGCAAUUGACUGCAGAUCAAUAGGUCACCGGUUCGAACCCGGUUGGGCCCUUAAAUUUGAGAAUUUUUUUUUAAAAAAAAUCUUAUUUUAAACUUUUGAAAUUUUGGUUGAAGCAUUAAUUGUUGCAUUGUAUACAUAUAUAUUUUUAAAAUUACAAUUUGUAUAUAUAAUCUGUUGCUCAUUUAUUUAUUAAAACAUUAAUUGAAAAUUAAUUAUUGUCUUUCCAACAACUGGAUUGAUUUUAAUAUUUUUUUAAAGUUGUGUUUUUUUUUAAAAAAAAAAAUCUUUAUUUUAAACUUUUGAAAUUUUGGUUGAAGCAUUAAUUGGUGCAGUGUAUACAUAUAUAUUUUAAAAUUACAAUUUGACAAUCUGUUGCUCAUUUAUUUAUUAAAACAUUAAUUGAAAAUUAAUUAUUGCCUUUCGAACAAUUGGAUUGAUUUUAAUAUUUUUUUAAAGUUGUGUUUCUUUUAUUUUAAACCUUUGAAAUUUUGGUUGAAGCAUUAAUUGUUGCAUUGUAUACAUAUAUAUUUUUAAAAUUACAAUUUGUACAUAUAAUCUGUUGCUCAUUUAUUUAUUAAAACAUUAAUUGAAAAUUAAUUAUUGUCUUUCCAACAAUUGGGUUGAUUUUAAUAUUUUUUUAACAAAAAUGCAUGCAGACCCUCUCAAUAAUGGACCGUUUCAUUUCUUAAAGCAAGCAUUAAUUGUAACUGUAAUUAUUAUUACAGUUCGUAUUUAGUGUCCAAAAUAACAGUUUAAAUAUAACUAAAAAUAAUAGUUAAUUAAAAGAAUUUAAAGCUGACCUGUUGCAUCAAGAAAAAUAAAUUGAGAGGUUUAUUUCAACAAUGACCUAUAUUUGAGGGGAUCCCUGUACAUUUUUCUAUUAUUAUUAUUUUCCAUCAAUUGGCCACAUGAGCCACUGUUUACAGCCAAAAAAAUUAAAAAAAAAACAUCAAUCUAUACAUACUACAGUGGGUAGUUUUCAUUCUAUAAAAUUUGCCCAAACUACAAAAUUAUUUUAGUUUUUUUUUUCCAAAGUUUAUUCUAUUUAUAAAUCUCUAUAUAAAGUCAUAUAAACUAAUCUGAACAAUGGGCUAUUUGGAAUCGGCUAAUUAACUUUUCAAAUUUUUGAUUUUACUUUUCAAUCUUUUGAAUUUGUUUAUUUAGUUCAGCGAACCAGCAUUAUUUUGACUUCAGAAUUUAAACUAAUUAUUUACUAGAAUGAAUUUAAAGGUAAAGUUGAAGUGUUGUUGACCACCUCUAAUCAUAUAAAUGAAAAGAUUCAGCAGUAAAAUUAAAAUUUUAUAAAAUUGGAUAACCAACUCCAAAUAGUUCAUAACUCAUAUCUCCAUAUUUAGCAUCCCUCGACCCCAUAAAAACAAACCUCCCUAUUUUAAGAAUCACUAAUUUAGCAAUAUAUACUUUCGGAAUCUAAACAUAGAAGCUCAAUUUUGAAUAGUACAGAUCUAUCUAUGUUCUACCAUAAACAGCAAAAUAAUAGCUAAAUAUGCUCUGGCAGUGUUCUCGUCAACCCAGAUUAUUCUGAAACAAAUGAAAAGAAUAUUAAUGCUGGAAUAUGCAAUCCAAUGAACAAGCCCAAAACGUGCGAAAAAAGAGAACUUAUCAGAUGCGAAAGAAGCAUCAGACAAUAUUUUCUUCCCAGAAGAUGAGAUGUUUGUUGCAGAAGAUUGCGAAAAACUAGAUCAGAGACCGAAUACCCAGAAAUGAAACUAUUUUAUAGUUAAACAUAAAAACCAUGUAGAAUAAGCAUGUAAAAAAUUAUCCCCUCUACACAACAUUUAACUUUCUAUGAUAAACAGAAGCAUCUUAUGUUUAACAGUUCAUAACACAGCUAAUAUAUGUUCCAACAACAUCGAAUGAAAAGCCGAACAAAAGGUUGGAAUAAACAGCAGCUAACAUUACACAAACACUAGUUGUACAAUUGAAAUUGGUCUUCCCAUGAUUGAUUUUGUCCCUGAAAAUACAAUUCAGGCUAUGCAAGAAAACCCCAAGAAGUAAAAAAAACAAAAACUUUUACAACCAAAGCCAUAUCGGAACAAGAAAAGAGCAAGAUAAUACACUAAUGGUAUCUGAGUUUAAAUUAGAAGGCUUUUAGGGUCAGUUUGGGAGAUGGUGCGGCGGCAGGUACAACAUGGUGAUGUGUCUUGAUAAAUGUCGAGUGAUUGGAGGGGCUUUUUUAGCUUGUUAACUUCGAAAGCACUUUCGACUCCCUCACUUGUGUUAAAAUUAGGCCAGCUACAAGCUCUGGGCCGAGAAUACAAAACAAUGAUAGUAUCUUACCACCCAAGCCCGGCUUGAGAUAUGAAUCAAUUGAAGUGUUUAAAGGGCCUGAUGGUGCGGCAAAACUAUCUUUCGAUGAAAUGUAUUUACACCUGGGGGCAAAAAAGAUAAUACUCCAUAAAAAUUCACCAAUGAAAAUGAUUGUAUAUCAAACAAUAUAACUUAAUGAGUAUGCUUAAUAAAAAGAGGGAACUUGAAAUAACUGUGGUUUAGCGUAUUUGGGCUUCGCUACCAAAUGGACUCAUCUGUUCCACUUUACGACCCAGUGGUUACAAUUUCGUAAGGCCGUAAAGACCUCAUAUUAACAGUAGACUACAAAUGACACAAGGUAUCACAAACCAACACAAAAAUACAUAAAAACACAAAACAGAGCAAUCACUCCCAUGUACGAUUUCUGACAUACCGUUAAUGGGAGGAAUUAUAGCACAAUGAAAUAGUAAUUAUUAGAAGGUUAAAUGCGACAAAUGACUCCCCAUGGUAUACUUGUGAAGAAACAGAUUACUAUCAGAGUACGGUAAUUUGCAUAUAUUUAUCAGAUAUAUUGCGCUAUUCCUAGUUGAAAGUCCGGCAAAGAUCACCAAAUUUUAAUUUGUUUAAUUCAGGAACACGACUCAAUUUCUAUUUAAUCAAGUUGCUCCAUCAGGCUCUGUUUAGUUCUCAUAAUGGUGGCUAAUUUUCGCAGUUGCAUCAUAUCUGAAAGCUAACAUGGCAGCUGAAUAAGUCGCUAUGCCACUGGAAUACUUGUAUGAAUCAACUGCCACAUUAUAGCAACAUCAUCUCUGACAGAUAACAUAGCAAGUGAAUCAACUACCACAUCACGUUUCUGAUAGGAACACUUCACAGCUAUUUGGCGUGGGGACCUGGCUAAAAAGUUUAAAGGUCGUUACGUUUGCAAUAUGUUUGAUGAUUACUGGUGUAAUCAUAACUCACCCUUAUAUUUAUUUAGCAUUUGACUCUUCAGCCUUUUUCUCAGUAAGUGCUAGUUCACCUUUCCCUCUGAAUGUAUAGGGCAUACACAGAAAGUAUCUAGUGUGAUUGUUGCAUGUGUCUUUCAAAGCUGGUUAUGUAAUAGCAAUGCAAUAACGAUCAACAAGUGACAAAAGGUAUAAAUUAGAAAAGGCAGUAGAAGUUGCACCUAAUUAAUUUAGCCAAGCUUCAGUGCCUCCCUAAGGCCAAAGCUGUAGUUACUUUGCAGACCUUUCUUGCCUAAAACUGCAUUUCCUUUCUGCAUCAUUGCCGCAAACUCAUUGUAGUCUAUUCUCCCAUCCUGAAAAAUGUAGGAAUAUAAAAAGAUGUUAAUUAUACCGAUAUCGUAAACUAUAAUGACCUGUUUAGAUAUCAGAUAAAGUUACACAGUGAAAACUUUAGUCCAUUGCAAGGUCCUAAAUAUCAUAAUUUUCAUGUUUUUCUCUUUUUUCACAACAGUAUAUACUACAUGCAAGUUGAAUUAAAAUAGCCUUCGAAACUGGGUAACAUGUUCCUUCUUACACACUUUUAGACAUUUUUUUUCAUGCUUCUAAACAACCAACUAACUAUAUAGUAGUGAAUAAAAAGGAGAGGAUAUACUGGAUAAGUCAUUCUGGCACCCAAAGAGACCCUUGAGGCCUGUUUGGAUGGCGGCACCAAUCAUUGGGUGAAAGUUGUGCUGUGGCAAGAUUUCUGUGAUUGCAGUCUAGAAGUUCGAUUUGAUAGUGAAUUUUCGGGAUAACCUAUCUGACCUACAAGGUUAUGAGAAAAAUAAUCUAAAGACCGGAUAUUAUGCGGGUUUAGACAUCUUUCAUACUCCCCAUCAACCAGUUACCACAGAUCCUGCGAGUUUACAAGAGAGAUAUGCUUUACACGAGGUUCAAGUAUCUGAACAGAGCCUUAAAACUUGUUGCAAGGUAAAAAGGACUUGCAUUAUCUUGAUCUAUUUCUCGGAUUAUCUCUUCAAGCCGAACAUCCUCUAUACCGAACUCCUCACAGGCUUUCUGAAGUUCGUCUUGAGUGAUAUACCCACUACCGUCUUUAUCAAAAUAUGAGAAAGCUGCAAAGAGAUUAUCCUCCCUUUCAACUUUGUUUAGGUGGAGAGUUGCAGCAAUGAACUCUCCAUAGUCAAUGGUCCCACUAUUGUCGAUAUCUGCCUGAAAUAUUAAAAAAAAAAAAACCAAGAGGGUCAACAUGGAUUAACAAAAAAGAAAAAAAUUCAAGGUGAAGUUUGACCCAGAUUCGUAAUUCCAGCCCUACAGUUUCAACUAUAAAAUUUAGUCCUAAAGUUUUGAUUUCACUUCAGUUUAGUCCUCCAACUUUCCUGGUCAAUUUAGUACCAAAAGAUUUACCCCAAUUUCAAUUUCGUCCAUAGAAUUUCAACUUUCAAUUUUGACGAAGCACAGUCUACAUAGUGCGCAGAUGUGGACCCCUUCUACCAGCCGUAAAUUAAAGACAUUUAUGCUGAACAACCUUCAACGACUAAAUUGUUACAAUUGAAAUUAUGAGGGCAAAGUUGAAAUGAAAGCCAAACUUCAUGGACUAAAUUUGUAACUAGCCAUAAAUUCAAUUAUAUUUAAUUAAUUAUCUAAUAUUAUAAUAUAUUUAAUAUUAUAAUAUUUGUAUUACCAUAUUUUUGUGUAUAACCUUAAUUAUUCACGAUAUAAUUAAUUUUAUAUAAACUAAAUGAAUCCCUCAAAGAUAGUAGGAAAAGCUACUCCAGAAACAAACAACGACACAAAUAAUCCCACAAGUACUUACCGCUUCCAUAAGAGCUGCAAUUUCAGAUUCCUUGAGAUUUGCGCCAACUUUCUCCAACCCAACCUUGAGUUCCUCGAAUGUGAUCUGACCACUAUUAUCUGCGUCGAUCAUCUUGAACAUCUCUUUCAAGCCUGCGAUUUCCUCUUCUGACAUGCUCUCAGCAAUGACCUGCGAAUAUGACACAUUUUCAUUAUAAAGUCAAGUUUGUCAAAGAUAAUAAAGGACUUAAUUAGAGUACGGAAGAAAAAAUAAUACAACAAAUAUUAUUCUUUGUGAGAAGAAACAAUCAAAUAUGCAAACUUAGAUUCUUUAUGAUUCUAACUAUCAGAAAAGGCAGUAAAUCUUUUUCUUUUUCUUUCUUCUAAAGCACCAAAAAUUGUAAAACCAGGAAGUAUCCAUAAACAGAGCCAAAGGAUACUAAAAGAGUACAUUCUAAUUAUUUAGCUUCAUCAGGGCCUCCUGUGGUAUAAGGCUCUAACCAAUUGUAGGAGAACUCAAGAAAACUACGAAAGGAAAACAAAAUCUCCUCAUAUUUCAAGUUGAUUAACAGUCCCAUCAAGAUCGAACAGACAAGUGGUCAAAGCAGAACCAGUUUAAUACGUAAAAAAGGUCUUAAAUCAUCAGUUCUACGAGGUAUUCACUUCAGCACAAUGAUUUUAGGUCGACUCGAUUCAUCUUUGACACCAAUAAAAUGGUUUAUACUAGGGCAAAUCCUACAGAGAAAACACAAUUUGCUAUGCAUACUCUCCAAUAUUACUACAAUCCUGCACAGGUUACCAUUCUAGACCUAGAUCUAUUCAUCCUCCGACUAAAACCUUAGGAAACCAUCAAACAGAUUAAAAAUAUCUAUACUGCUCAAAACAAAACCGCCUAAUAACUGUAAUUUCUGCAAAUUUUAUGACGAGGAUGCCUUCCAAGGAAAUUCUCUACGAGGGAUAAUGGUAGCAAUCAGAGAAAUGUAUAACGUGGCCAAAGUGCAACUGAGAAAUUUGCCCAACAGGAAAUCAUCUGGGUAAAACUACUAGAUCAAAUAAUAGCAGCAGAAAAAGAGACAAGAUUUUUUCUUUUUUAAUUAAUGAGAACAGAUACUCACCCUAAGGGCCAUUUUCUUGAGCUUGUUCAUUGCAGAGAAUUGCUUUAAUCGGGUUAGGACAGCAGAAUCAAGAGGCUUGUCAGGAGCAACACCAUCCACCCGCACCCAAGGGUGACCUAGAAGAAUUCAAACGGAAAAAUUAUUAGAAGAAACUGUGACAAAAAUAAAAUUUCCAGCAGAUGAUCAGUAUGUGCUGGGCUAUGAGUUUGCGCAUAUUAGUACAGCCACAUAAACCGUUGAAUAUUAUUAUAUUAAGAAGUUAAGAAAUGAGUAUAAAUCUUUUUGACAAGUAUAUAAUAAUGCUUAUUUUAAAACAACAAUCUAUUGGCAGACCCUUUUUUUUUCACUGCUGUCUACCUAUUUUGCAAGCACUACUUAUCCAGGGCAAUUUUCUAUGAGAAGGUAACCGAUUAUUUAAAAUUAAAUGACCAGUAAAUUUCAGACAAAAGUGCAACUCACAUAGAGCUUCAUGAGCUGUUAACCGCUUUCUGGGAUCUCUCACUAACAUCUUCCUAACCAAAUCUUUUGCACUCUCUGAGAUGCUGGGCCAUGGCUCCGAAGAAAAGUCAAGUUCACCUUUUAAGACUUGCUCAAAUAUUCCCUGCUCUGUUUCUGAAUGAUAAAAACAACAACAAAAAAAAAAGAGUAAACAUCUGGAUUAUGCAGUAAUUUCUUUCAAAAAACAAUGGAUGAUUUAUGAGAAGCAACAAGAAUUAAUGUACUGACCAUCCCAAAAUGGAGGGACCCCACUUAAUAAGAUAUAAAUGAUCACACCGGCACUCCAAACAUCUGCCUCAGGACCAUAAUGUUUUAGAAGAACUUCGGGUGCAACAUAGUAUGGGCUUCCCACAACAUCCGUAAAUAUAUCACCUGAAAAAUGGAUGAUGAUCCAUCACAAUUGGAUAUGGCAUACCAUUUUAGACAACUAUAUCGUCUGAAUUAUCUGCACGCAACAAGUACAGGGAAGUAGCUCCUCUGCCAUACAUUGGUGUAAAAGGAUCCACAAUAAUAUUGUAUAGUUGGAAAUUUUGUCACUUCUUGUUAUUUUCCGUAUCAGAAUAUAAGUUCGUCGGGCACAACAACUUCAGCAUCACCACCCGCUCAGUAGUCAUUGCAAUCUCAUUAAUGACAGUCGCUACAACACAAGAAUUCGAGUCCUGCCCUAUCUAUAGAUUACAAGAAUUCCUUAAUAUUGCAGACAAAUUAAUGUAAACUCUAGGUGUCAAGGCAACUUUGAACGAGAUGGAGCUUGCAAUGUAACCCAAAUAGCUAGUUGGCAGGUUGAGACUUGUGGGCAAAACUAAUCUAUAAAUGACACAUUUUUUUAAUUCAUCUAUAAGGAAAUAGCCAUAUGAAAGUUUGCUUAACUUGAGAAUAACAAAAUGGCAGGAGACUGCGAAGGUUUAGUUGUGGCCUCAUCCACAGGGAGCAAACUAAAAUGCAAGAGUUCUAUGAAACUGAUCCACCAACGGCAACCAAGGCUAUCUUAUAUUCAGUACGCUGCUAAUAUAAAAAGUGAAAAGGAGAAACAAAUGUAGCAGCCUGUGCUCCAGGGUAUUCAGUGUCGAAGUUUUAGCUUCAGGACCAGUGCCAUUUAUAUAAUUAACAAAAGUUAAUCCUUCUAUUAUGACAAAUUCAAGGCACUUGUUUGCUUCCUAUGUACCAAUACCUCAUAUUCUCAGGCAAAGCAAGAGUGUUCACGCUCUUACCGACAUCUUCACAUUUAAGAUAUGGGAACAUCAUAGUUCUUUUCUGAUAAUUGUCAGUAAAAUCACCUGAAUCUUUCUUUCUCCCUAGCAGUAUUAGUAAAUCAGUCUUACUUGAAUUUCAUCUACUUAACCAUGUCUGAUGCAAAUAUAUACACAAUUCUCCAACUACUUAUGUCUCCCGUCCAAUUAUAGUGGAAAUUUUGCAACAUCUCCAUAUUACUUAAGUAUAUUUUUAGUGCUCAAAACAUCUUUCUUGAGAAGAAUGAUGUCCAUGUAACCAAAAACCAUACCCAAUAGCGUGGAAAAUAUGGAAAAAAAUUUCAAUAGAAUGCCAUAACUAAUCAAACUUCAUAAAUAAUGAAAAGAUCUACCUGGCUUGAAGAAUAUAGAGAGCCCAAAAUCAAUCGUCUUUAGAGACGAAUCCUCCUUCUGAUUAACAAAGAGAAAGUUUUCGGGUUUUAGAUCGCGAUGCAUGACCCCCAACGAGUGGCACGCCUCCACGACACCCACUAUCACCCUCGCGAGUUCCGCUGCAGCCUUCUCCGAGUAGUGCCCUCUCUGUAUGAUUCUGUCGAAGAGCUCCCCACCGGCGCAGAGCUCCAUGACGAGGUGCACCGCGACGGCAUCCUCGUAGGCACCGACAAUGGAGAUGACAUUGGGGUGCCCUGCAAGGUGGUGCAUAAUCUGGAUCUCGCGCCGGACAUCCUCGACAUCCUCCUCGGUGAUGAGCUUCCGCUUAGCAAUUGACUUGCAGGCAAACUCUUUACCUGUGGCCUUCUCAACACAGAGGUAGGUCGUGCCGAACUGGCCCUGGCCGAGCUUGCGGCCGAGGCUGUAGAGAUCCUUCAACUUCUCCGUCUUCCGCUGCAGCACAGAGCCCACCUGUGUUCGAACAUAAAAAUAUCCAAACAUCAUUUUUUACCAACUAAAGCAUUUUCCUAGCAUGCUAAACUUGUUUUACAUGGCAUGACAGCAGGAGCUCCGAAGUUUAAAUCCCAAAAAACUCCCGGUAUCAUUCGAUUUCCUCCCAUUUCAAUUCAAAGUCUACAUCUUGGACCUAUCAAAAGCUACAAGCCCAAACAUUGCUCUCUAAGCAGCUAUUAAAGCAAUCAGUUGCCCCGUAUUCGACUCCUCCCAUCAAACUCUCCAAGUCUCAUUUGAUUUCUCCUCUCAUUUUAAUUCAAGUCCGCAUCUUGACCAAUCAGACCAUUAAAAAAAAAAAAAGAAUCGAAAAACAUCGUUAUGUAGCAGCUUAAAAGCCAACCUGGAGCCCGGCGCUCGACACGCGCCUGAAGUGCGCGGUCGCGGGCUUCUUCGGAGGGGGAGCCUCUUCCGCCGGCGGCGCCGCCGCGGCGGAAACGGGAAGGUUGGGGGUCGGAGCAGGGGCGGUUUGGUUGUGGCGGGCGUGGUGGUUGGAGUCGGGGAUGGUGACGGGCUCGGGGGGCUUAUCGGGGGCGGGAUCGGGGGGGCGGGAGGAGCGCCAGAGGACGGCGAGGGAGACGGAUUGGAAGAAUCCGUGGCGCCCUACGCUCGGGCCGACGCAGCUGUUCCCCAUCGUCGUCGAAGGAGGCCGCGAUCGAUCGGCGCUACAACUGCGCAACGUCGCUAGGAAGGGCCGCCCAUUUCGAGAUGAGAAGAGACACGAGUAGAGGUAGGGGAGAGGAAGAGGGUGAUCGCCGGAACCCUAGUAUCGUUUCCGGGGUCGCCGGAACCCUAGGAUCGUUUCCGGGGUCGCCGGAACCCUAGGAUCGUCGGCCGAUCCGGCGCAAGGUGCCCUUCUUAGGAUCACGGUGAUCCAGCGAUGGAUGAGAACGAGGAGGAGGAGAGUGGCGGAGGCGAAGCUCUGAUGAGAUACGAACCGUACAAAUGGAGAGAGAGAGAGAGAGAGAGAGAGAGAGAGAGAGAGAGAGAUGGAGGAGGAAACGAGAGGGGAAGGAGACAAGGAUCCGGGUGGGGCGGAAGAGCCGCGUCCAGUUUAAUUUACUGGCGCUUACAAUUUCUUUUUCUUUUCCUUUUAAAUCUAAUAUAAAACCAAUAUAUUAUUAUAUUGUAUUACUUUUUGAAUUUUUUUUAAAAUUUUUUAAAACUCUGCCAGCAACUAUCUAAUUUUUUAAUUUAUUUGAUUUGAUUCGGCCGACGAUAUUUUUAAAUUUUAUAUUUAGGUAAAUUAUUUAUUUCAAAACAUUUAUAGUCACGAUAAUUACACUAAGAAUUAAGAAUACUAACUAAACCUAUAAAAAUAAUUAAUACAUUCGAAACUUACUCACAUCAAAUGAAUUAAAAAAUUAAAUAAUAAAAUUAAAAUUAAAAUGGUUGGGAGACUAACUCGAAAAUGUAUGCAAUUCUAACAUAUUUUGCAUGUUAUUACUUUAAAAUAUAUGUAUAGUUAGUCUAUUUUCGAAAAUAUAGAAAUAAUAGUAGCCCCUCGUAUUUAGUGGUUCUCUAGAAAAAUAAUAUUAAUCCGAACUAGAAAUAAUCAAAAGGUUGAUUUUAAGGAAAAAUUCUAGAAUGCAACGGGUAUAUUAGUGACGUGGCGUAACAAACCAAUCAAAUUAAUGCUUUUAAGAAUAUAUGUCCCAUCAUGAUUGUAAAAAAGUAUUUUUAUUGUACUUUUUUUUGACAAGAAUGAAUGUGAUUGGCUUGUUAUUGAUGACGUGGUGCAAGUGUGACAGUGUAGAAUUCCUCGAUUUUAAGAGUUGGCCUUUUUGCAUAAAAAAUCCACUUAUUUUGGGCUUUUGCAAAACCGGGUCACCUUUUUCGUUUUUGCAGAUUCGGUCCGCUUUUUCAGCAAACUGACCAAAAUACCCUUAUUACUUUUUCUCUUUCCUCUUUCUCUCUCCUCUUCGUUUCUAUCGUUUUUUUUUUUUCGCCGAAAAAAAAAGAGGCGGACCGUCGCCUUCUUCUUCACCGUCGCCUCCCUUCUCACCCUCCUCUCUCACCGGCCCGGCGACCCCCUCCUCCUCUCCUCCGCCUGCGGACCCCCAGCCCGAUUCCGUCGCCGCGGGCCGGGCAGCGGCCACGGCGAACGGUCGGGCUGGGAUGCGGGGAGAAGAAGACCACGGCGAAGGAAGAAGGAAGGGGUGACAAGCGCAGGGCGCAGGAGGGGGAGGCCGGAAGCGCAACCGGCGCCGGCACCAGCGCCGCGCGUGUUCUUCUCCGUCGCGCUGCCCCUCCUCCCGUCCGCUCCGCGCAGAAGCCCGCCGACCAGGCGCCUGCUGCUUUCUCCCACGACGACGCGAGCGCCGCGGUCCGGCCCCGGACCCGACCCGAUCCCGUCGGCCGCAGCGGCAGGCCGCCCGGAACGGGGUCGGACUGUUUUAUUUAAACUGCCACAUCUUUAACAGAGCUAAUGUAUUACUGGCUUCCUCCUCGUUGUUGGCCACUGUUUUCUCCUCUUUGUUGCACUGUUUUCCCUCAGUGCAACAAGGAGGGAGAACAGUGCAACCAAAGGAGGGAGGAAGCAGUAUAAAUAUCUCUUAAAGGUUGCAGUUUAAGAUAAAUGUGCCAGUUUUUUUUUUGUUGCCCCACCAUUUUUUCUUCUUUUACACUGUUUUUAUUUUAAAUGCCACUGCAUUUAAGAGAUAUUUAUAGCUGCUUCUUCCUCUUGCUUGCACGGUUGCUCCUCCUUUGUUGCAACUGUUUCUCCCUUUAAGAGGAAGAAAACAGUUUGCAACAAAGGAGGAGAAACAGUGCAACUUUCAUUUAAAGAGUGUAUAUUUUUUAUUCUUAGUGGGGUGCAGUGUUAUAUUCUGAAAGAAUGCGUAAGGAAAGAGAAAUACAGUGUAAAAUAUCUUUCAAAGAGUUGUUAAGUUUUCAUUUUAAAAGUGUAAUUUUUAUUUUAAAAGCGUGCCCAGUUACAUUCUUAGAGGUAGUGCAACUUGUAAUUCUUUUUGCUAGUUACGAUACAAUUUUAUUCUUCAUCGCUUUUUUUUGUCUAUAUUAAUUUUUUAUCUUUAUUUUUUUCUGUUUUUUUUUUGCACCCUCUCUGCGUCAAUAGGCCACGGUGUCGGUGACGCCGCCGCUAAAGACCUCGAGGCUGCCAGGGCCGCCAGUGAUUCUCCACCGGGUGUCGGCGUCGGGUCGGGCGAAGCACUGCAUCGGUCGGUCGGGAGGCAGCAGAAAAGGAGGGAGAAGAGAGAGGAGAAGGCAGAAAAGAGCGGAGAGAAGGGGUCGUCGGUCGAAACCUGGGGUUUGGAGGAGGAGUCAGAGAAGAAAAGAAAGAAAAAUCGCAAAAAAAAAAAAAAAGUCACAGCCCGGCCUUAGGGGGAUCGGAGGCGAGGAAGGUGGGGGCGCCGGCGGCGACGCCGCUCUGUCUUCGCCGCUCUCUGGGAAGAGAGAAAAAAAGAAGGAGAGAAAAAAGAGAAAAGAAAAAGGUAUAAGGGCACCUCCGCUCCGUCUUCGCCGCUCUCUGGGAAGAAAAAGAAAAAAGAACGAGAGAAAAAAAGAGAAGAGAGAAAGAGGAAAGAGAAAAAGGUAUAAGGGUAUUUUGGUCAGUUUGCUGAAAAAGCGGACCGAAUCUGCAAAAGCCAAAAAGAUGGCCCGAUUUUGCAAAAGUCCAAAAUAAGUGGAUUUUUUAUGCAAAUUGGCCUUAAGAGUUUACUGGAUUGUCAUAAUUAAUAAAGUUUGAGUCAAAAUAGUAUGAAAAUUUAAAAUUUACAAAUCAAAAUAUCAUGCAACUUAGCAGUUUGAGAAUAAAAAAUAUAAUAAUUUAUACUAAUCCGAGCACAAUCUGAACGAAUCCAAAGUGUAUGUUUGGAUUGGAUACAAGAGGGAAGUAAGGGGGUUAUCCCUCUCUUGUACCCAAACACUACUUGGGUGGGUGGGAACAAAUUGUUCCCGUAAUCCCUUGGUGGGAACUUGUCCCCACCCCACUGGGUAGAGAGAGAGAGAGAGUUAUUUAAAAAAAUUACAAUUUAAAUUUUUAGAAUUUAAAAUUUAUAAUCUCAAAAUUAUAAAAUUUUAAAUAAAAGUUUAAAUUUAAAUUUUGAUUUUUUUAAUUUUUAAUUUUUAAAUUUGAUAUUUUAUAUUUUUUAAAUUUAAAUUUGAUCUUAAAUUUAAAAUUUGAUAUUUAAAAUUAAAAUUUUUAAAAUUAAAUUUUAAUUUCAAAUUUUAAAUUUAAAAUUCAAAUAUAAUGAGAAGGUAAUAUCAUUAUUUUUUAUUUAUAACCAUCAACUAUUUCUCUUAUUCCCAAUAACCAUUCAAACACAAUUUUUCUAAUUUCAGUUUAUACUUACAUUUUUAUCCAAAAAAAAAAAUAUUCUUGUUCUUAUAAAAACUCAUAUUUAUACCUAUUCUCGAUAUAACUAGUUCCUACUAAUUUUUGAACCAAAUGGAGCCAAAAAGUCGAACCGAACC
rnacentral:lncRNA from 1 species